CAAAGCUAUUAAUUUUGUCUUUCCAGAAUUAUUUUCCCUUCCACAAUUCUGGUUUCAGAUCCAUACCACCACCCUUGCGUCCUGUCCCCAGACACACUUGACCCAGGAUUGGCCCAUGGAGUGCCCCAAGUCCAUCCAUUUAAGAGCCUUUUCCAGGACGAAAAAUAUAACUGGAUCUGAGAGAGAAAACAGUCUUCUCAGUGAUUGGUAUAUGGGCCCCAUGCUGCUGCUGACUAUGUUCCUUCCCCAAGAUAGAAAAAUCAUGGCAGCGGGAGAGAAUAAUGUGCAAGGAGAAGAGAGAUGGCAGAACAUCUGUUUUGUUGAAGAGCACAGCAAUGUUUACUGGACUAAGAAAUGGGCCUCUGCAGGUGAGCAACAACUUGGAUAUGGGCUGGUUUCAAGAGGUGUCAUGAGAUGGUGCUGAAAGAAGAACAAUUAAGCAGAUAAUACAUCUGAAAGCAAGAUAAGUCGCUAUGGGUUAAGCAGAAGACUGAUAACUAAACUAUUUUAGCUCUUAUAAGAAAAGAAACAAGAAAAAAUAUCCAAUAAAUCUCCAGAUAAAGAAUAGAGACUCAUUUCCUAACUCAUCUUCUCUCGGGAGAAGAGAGAACUGAUGAAUAUUCGACUUCAUCAUCAUUUGGAAUCAGAUUCAGCUGGAGGAAUGGGGAUCUGCAAUCCUUUGACAUCAUUACAUUAACAAAAAGAGAAAGCUUUUGACCUCAAAUGAAAAAUCUCUUCCCUGUCAUUUAAAUAUUAGCCAUUAAAUCUCUGCUUCCUGGAAUCUGAAAUAAAAAUUCCAACUCUUUUGGAAACACAA
rnacentral:lncRNA from 1 species